rnacentral:lncRNA from 1 species
GACAAAGGUGAGAGGUUGCAUUUCCUUACCCUAUCCCUACCCCAAGCCCUCUGUCAGGCUUAGGGUGUCCUCUAAACACCUCCAGCCCAGCCUGCCCUCCCCCCAGUUUUUUGGGGGGGGUUUCAUAAUCCUGCUGCCAUCAUCCAGAGGUGGCAACACACCUCUGCUGACUUCAUCCUGUCUCUUCCCUGCCUCCUUCCUCACAAGUGCCAUGAGUUUUCAAGCAUCCUUGGGUCUCAGCUUGCUGCUGCCAUGAGCUUCUUUGCAUUGUGGGGGAGGGACUCUAGGUAGGAGCUGAGGAGGAGGUGGAUGGGUGGCUGGAAGGACCCUUUUUGCUGCUAGAAAUCCCUCUCCUUUCUAAGGAGCUGGGACUGGCUUGUCCCCAAUCAAUGAGGGGGAAAGGGGCCAGACCAAAGAUAAUGGUUUGCCCCAUGGAGGGGAACAGAUGUGAAAAGGCAGGGUUUAUUCCAUCUCUGGUUUUCUUCUGGUAAUGUUUUAGCUUGUCUUGCCAGAAGAGCAAGAGUGAAGUCUAGAUAGGGGAGAAGAGACAGGAUGGGGACAGUUGCCAGGCAGGUGUGAAGAGAGCAUGAAAUGGCUCAUAGCCCUUGCCUGACUUAACUGGAUCUGGACUUUGCUGUGGCUGUAUGGAGUGGCUGGCCUAGGAGCCAGAGGACUUGACUCAGCCCAGGCCCAAGGCCAUCAGACACCAAUAAAGCUGGAAGAAGCUGUGGGGUGAGGAGCUCCUCGGGGACUGGCAGGCACAGGAGUCCUGCGUCCUUUCUUCCUAUACAGCCCUUCUCCAAAUGUGGGCUAUGGAGGGCAGGCUGUAGUGUAGUAGGGCCCAUGGUUUCUGCCUAGCUGGAAUCACUAGCACAGGGAGCAACUUGCUUCUAGGCCUCAGAGCUACAUGGCAGGUCCCCAAGUGGGGCUGGAUCCACUACAAUCCAGCGUAAGCCACCCAGAGAGCCCAGGUGUCCCCUACCCUAACCAGACCUGGUGCCUUGACGCCCCCACCCCAGCGGGGACGGUACAGAGAAGGGUCUUGGUCUCCUCCUCCCUUCCUUGGGCUCCUGAAUUCAUUUGCUCCUGAAUCUUGCUCAUUCUUUUUCUCUAGGUCUUUUUCUUUUGAGUUUUCCUAGCUAUUCAACUUUCCGUUGUGUCCUUUUUUGCUGUCUCUGUGUUCCUCUCAUUCUCAAUUUCUUAGUCCAUUUGGGCCUCCUCCCUGCUCCCACACCCUACUCCCUCCCCUCCUUGGUCUCCUUUUCGAUAUGCCAAACCAAUUUUGGGUCGAGUGCAUUUAACGAGAAUAAAACAAAAGGCUCAUAAGAACGUUUCAGAAAAAAACAAAAAGUUUUAAAAAAAUGUUGAGUCAAAAAAGUCAAACAAUAAAGAAAUUAAGAUUUCUUG